rnacentral:rRNA from 1 species
AACUAACGCUGGCGGCGUGCCUAACACAUGCAAGUCGAACGAGAAGCCCGCAAGGGUUGUAAAGUGGCGGACGGGUGCGUAACACGUGGGUAAUCUACCCUAUGGCCUGGGAUAACCUGCCGAAAGGCGGGCUAAUACCGGAUAAGACCACGGCUCUGCGGAGCUGUGGGAAAAGACCCGCAAGGGUCACCGUUUGAUGAGCCCGCGGCCUAUCACGGUAGUUGGUGAGGUAAUGGCUCACCAAGCCUACGACGGGUAGCUGGUCUGAGAGGACGACCAGUCACACUGGAACUGAGACACGGUCCAGACUCCUACGGGAGGCAGCAGUGGGGAAUAUUGCGCAAUGGGCGAAAGCCUGACGCAGCAACGCCGCGUGGGUGAUGAAGGCCUUCGGGUUGUAAAGCCCUGUCGCCCGGGACGAACAAGCUCGUGAAGAACGAGCCCUGACGGUACCGGGAGAGGAAGCACCGGCUAACUCUGUGCCAGCCGCCGCGGUAA